UGCUGUGGUGCAGAGCUGGGGUGAGGGCUCUGGCCCCGUGACGUGCUGUGCAGCACAGGUGCUCCACUGCCACCCCUAAAUGUGCUGAGUAAUUGAGAAAAACCCCACGUUUCGUGGUCUGCUUCUUGUUAAGAGCUUUCCUCUGCUCCAGAUUCCUGAUCUCACCUUCCCUCUUGCACCUUCUUUUCUUCAUCUCACCCUUUGCACUCACCCAGGGAAAUCUGUGAGCCUUGCCUGGCUUUUUUCAGCAUUCUGUUGCCCAGAACAGAAACCCAGUGCUCUGGUCAGUGGUGAGAUAAUUUUACCCACACUGGAUGUGGUUCUGAGACUCUCUGGGCCUAACCCAACCUGGCUGCAGUGCUCCUGCCCCCUGAGCCCUCCCAGCUUGUCCUCAGGGAACAUCCUGGUGCAUGCUGAGUGCUGGGAUUGGUGACUGGGGAUGUGGGGAGGAAGGAGAAGAAUCAACCUCAACUUUAUUCUUCUGCUUUGAGCUUUUCUUCUACUAAAAAAUGUGAGACAAAUGUGCCUUUACUUGACCAGCUUGGGAGCCUGGUGAAGGAAAGGGGGAUUUGUGUGAAUUUAAAGGAAAGAUCGAUGCUUAGCUGCCUCCUAAUCUGGCAGUUGGAUAAGUGGUGCUCUCCUUGGGUUAUCAGGAAGCUUCUCAGAAUUCAGUGUUUUCAUGACUUGCCUACAAAUGCAGUUGUUGCAGCAUUAUCAGGUUGUUUCAUGCUGCAGAGAGAAUCCUUUAGCUGAGUGUUCCAUCUCCCUCUCCAAGCUGGGUCUGAUCCUUCAAAUGCUGUCCACGUGAGCUGCCAAGGGAGCUGCCUGCUCCUUCCAGCUGGCCCGUGGGCCAGCAGCAGUGCUGGGGAGGCUGAGGAGCAGGGGGAGCAGGCAGCAGCACCUGGGGCUGCAACCCGGAGCUGUGUUGGGGAAAACAGGGAGCACUUGGUGGGAGGAUGGAGGUGUGUGAUAGCUCCAGGCUCAGCAGGUGAGCUGGUGCUGGAACACAGGUGCUGUUCUGUUGGCAGCGUUUUUAACAGGUGCUUCAACCUGCAAGGUGGGAAGAGGAGCUUCAGUGACUCCUCCUGCCCUGCAAAUCUGUUCUGCAAUGCCAUUUAGAGCUUAAUCUCUGUUGCUGGACUGGUGUGAUUCGAUUUGUGCAGUACAUUCUCACAGGGAGAAAUGAGUGGCUGUCUUGAUGUACCAGAGAGACAAAAUAUUUAACCUUCUAGUAACAUUUUGAAUAAUUCAGGUGAAUGUGGUGCAGAAGCUGUGUGUCCUAAGCUUGUGCUUAAAAAGUCAUUGCCAAAGGGAGAUGUCAGUGCUGCCUCUCCUUCUCCAGUUUUUGGGGUGCUGGUGUGUCACACUCAUCAUGUGGACCUGCCAGAAUAAUUAAACUUAGAGCACAGCAAGAUCUUCUCUUUUCCUCUCCUGUUCUGGGUUCUGUGCCUCAGACCACAGAGGUCAUUCAUGCUCAGGAUAAACGUGAAUUUGGAAGAAGUUCUGCCAUAAAACCAGAUCUGCUUGAGCCCACAGAAAAACAGUUGCUAGAAAGUAGUGGCACUUCUGUUUUGCUGAAUUACCCACCAGGCAGGACAUAGUUUCAGUGCAAUGAAAUUACCAUUGAUUCAUUUUUUUUUUCAUGAAAACAACUAAAAUGUCAGUGCCCAUGUCAUGCAGUGAUCUUUUUUUGAUCCAGGGUUGGUGGAAAUGUUCAUAUGCCUUCACAAGUGCAGGAGGGGAUGAGCUUUAGGGAGAGCUGGUGCAGUGACAGCCCUGAGCAGCGGGACAGGGAUCUUGGGAACUGCAGUGGCUUUUGGAAGGAUGAGGCCCAGCCUGGGGGCUCUGCAUGAUGUGUUCAGGAUGCUGUCUCACACCAGGGAGGUUCGCAGGCAGAGACCAGAGUUUUGUGAUGAAACACCCAUGCUGACCAUCUCCAGAAGGUUUUCAGACCCCCAGGAAUUGGAGAGCUGUGUUGGAGAAGGUUCUGUAAACAGAAGAAGCCCAACAAGAAACCCAGUUGCUGAAAUGAAUGGAGGAGCUUGUGUUGCAGUGCCUGGAGCUGUGUCUGAGGCAGCUGAUCGUGCUGCUGCUCAUAAAGCAAGGCUGGGUGUGCAGUUCCUCAGGCACUGCUGCUCUGCUCCUCCCUGUGAGGCAGAUCCUGCCCUCAGGGAGGGCAAAGGUUGGAAGUAUGAAAAGAUUUAACACAUUUCUCUGGUCUCCUGGGAUGCAAUAAAGCAAUGACCUUCUAUCAAAAAAUCUGGAGUAAUUGAUGCCCUGGAGUUGUGUCAUGUGCUUUUUCUGUAAAAAAUAGAGCAGUACUUGCAAGCUGCUGCAUCUUUAGCUGCUGGUGGCUGUGUGGUGUUUGGCACAUCAGAGUCGUGGGGAGUUCAGUGCCAGGGGUUGCCCAGUGCAGUGCUGGGACAGCAGCAUCCUGGGCUUUUGCUGGGCACAUUCCAAGGGGGAUAUUUUUAACAUUAACAUAUAUUCACAUUGUCCUUGUUGCCAUCGGAUAACUUUUCUAAAUAUAAAUGGGAUGAAAUUUGCAUCCAUGAGCUGUCCUCACUGCUCAAGUGGCAAAAUCCUGUGACCUGCAUCCCAGCACCUCAGCUUACUCUGGUGGGGUGGUGGUUCAUUGCCUUGGCAUUUUUUAAAGAUGUUUAGAUGCAACACAACAAGCAACAAUUCCCUGUAAUUAAACUGUUGAUCAUCCUGGCUUGAGAAAGGAAUGUGAGGCAACAUGCACUCAAAAAAUGGAUGUGUUAAUUAAAAUGCACAUAUCCUUGGUCAUUAUUGCUUAAUAGGAAGGUGGAGCUGCUGUUCCUGCUGAGCUGGCAGAGAGCAGCUCCCUGGUUCUGUGGCCCAGCAGCUCAGGUGCAGGUGCAUUUCCUAAAAUCACUGAUGAUAUUGUGAAGAGCUCAUGUGGAGAAGGAUAUUUCUGGGCAGAGCAACCUGUGUAACUCGACUGUAGGUGCUCUGCUUGGAGAAGCUCUCCUUUAGCUCUCUUAUUUCUUCUGUUCUGUUGGAUCAGGCAGACUCUUGGAACUCUUUGUUCUUGGGACUGUAAAUUGUCUUUCUCGUGAUGUUGGCAAAUAUUGGCAGUAGCAGAGCUGGGUUCCCAAAGCUGUGGCAGGUAACUGCAGUAAACAACGCUGGAGUGACAGAGCUGCCCCUGCAGACCUGGGUUCACUUGAACUUGGCAAACAAAGGGAAGCAGCAGUAAAAGCCAGUGUCCUUUAAUUGUGGGAGAGGCCCUUCUGCCCUGAUAAAGUGGCUCUGGAGUGCCAGGACAGGCAGCAAUUUCCGGAUUCAAGCCCAGAGAGUGCAGGGCUGCUCUCAGAGAGAGAAACGGGGAAAUGUGCUGAGUGUUUGAUAAACAGUGCCCAGUGCAGAGUGUGUGGCUGAUGCCUUGAGAGGCUCCCUCAGUGUUAAAGGAAUAAAGUAGGGAUUUAUUAGAAGGCAUUUAAAGGGUACACCUUGGGCAGUACGAGAGCCUGGCCAUGGCUCUACCCAAGAUGGACUCAGAGUCAUGAGUUUUCACACUUUUAUAAGUUUUGGUCCUUUUCUGUAUUGGGGUUAAUUACAGCUUCAGGUUAUAAAGUCAUAUCCUCCCAGAUUGUUCUCCUCAGUUUGCUGUUGUUUAUACUUUUUGGGCCUUCUCAGGCUGGAAAAGGAUUGUUUUGUCUAGCUAAACUGUGAGGAGAACUUGCUAACACUUUCUGUGAAGUUCAGAGUUAUAUACUAACGCAGCGCAGAAUCUGGAAAAUAAGAAAUCUAAACCUUUCCUGUGUCCUGCUGCCUUUCUGUGCUGGGAUAGAGCUCUUACCAGGCAGGGAUGUCACCAUGCCACAGGCAGACAAUGCAGGGAGAACAUUCCCUGUUCCAUUUCCAGCCCUGGCUGAUGCAGGAGGUGCUGAUGGGAGCUCUUGCCUCUUUCCUCGGAGCUGUUUGGGUUUCUGCUGCAGCACGAUCACA